rnacentral:rRNA from 1 species
UAAGCGACUAAGCGUACACGGUGGAUGCCCUGGCAGUCAGAGGCGAUGAAGGACGUGCUAAUCUGCGAUAAGCGUCGGUAAGGUGAUAUGAACCGUUAUAACCGGCGAUUUCCGAAUGGGGAAACCCAGUGUGUUUCGACACACUAUCAUUAACUGAAUCCAUAGGUUAAUGAGGCGAACCGGGGGAACUGAAACAUCUAAGUACCCCGAGGAAAAGAAAUCAACCGAGAUUCCCCCAGUAGCGGCGAGCGAACGGGGAGCAGCCCAGAGCCUGAAUCAGUGUGUGUGUUAGUGGAAGCGUCUGGAAAGGCGCGCGAUACAGGGUGACAGCCCCGUACACAAAAAUGCACAUGCUGUGAGCUCGAUGAGUAGGGCGGGACACGUGGUAUCCUGUCUGAAUAUGGGGGGACCAUCCUCCAAGGCUAAAUACUCCUGACUGACCGAUAGUGAACCAGUACCGUGAGGGAAAGGCGAAAAGAACCCCGGCGAGGGGAGUGAAAAAGAACCUGAAACCGUGUACGUACAAGCAGUGGGAGCACGCUUAGGCGUGUGACUGCGUACCUUUUGUAUAAUGGGUCAGCGACUUAUAUUCUGUAGCAAGGUUAACCGAAUAGGGGAGCCGAAGGGAAACCGAGUCUUAACUGGGCGUUAAGUUGCAGGGUAUAGACCCGAAACCCGGUGAUCUAGCCAUGGGCAGGUUGAAGGUUGGGUAACACUAACUGGAGGACCGAACCGACUAAUGUUGAAAAAUUAGCGGAUGACUUGUGGCUGGGGGUGAAAGGCCAAUCAAACCGGGAGAUAGCUGGUUCUCCCCGAAAGCUAUUUAGGUAGCGCCUCGUGAAUUCAUCUCCGGGGGUAGAGCACUGUUUCGGCAAGGGGGUCAUCCCGACUUACCAACCCGAUGCAAACUGCGAAUACCGGAGAAUGUUAUCACGGGAGACACACGGCGGGUGCUAACGUCCGUCGUGAAGAGGGAAACAACCCAGACCGCCAGCUAAGGUCCCAAAGUCAUGGUUAAGUGGGAAACGAUGUGGGAAGGCCCAGACAGCCAGGAUGUUGGCUUAGAAGCAGCCAUCAUUUAAAGAAAGCGUAAUAGCUCACUGGUCGAGUCGGCCUGCGCGGAAGAUGUAACGGGGCUAAACCAUGCACCGAAGCUGCGGCAGCGACGCUGAUGCGUUGUUGGGUAGGGGAGCGUUCUGUAAGCCUGCGAAGGUGUGCUGUGAGGCAUGCUGGAGGUAUCAGAAGUGCGAAUGCUGACAUAAGUAACGAUAAAGCGGGUGAAAAGCCCGCUCGCCGGAAGACCAAGGGUUCCUGUCCAACGUUAAUCGGGGCAGGGUGAGUCGACCCCUAAGGCGAGGCCGAAAGGCGUAGUCGAUGGGAAACAGGUUAAUAUUCCUGUACUUGGUGUUACUGCGAAGGGGGGACGGAGAAGGCUAUGUUGGCCGGGCGACGGUUGUCCCGGUUUAAGCGUGUAGGCUGGUUUUCCAGGCAAAUCCGGAAAAUCAAGGCUGAGGCGUGAUGACGAGGCACUACGGUGCUGAAGCAACAAAUGCCCUGCUUCCAGGAAAAGCCUCUAAGCAUCAGGUAACAUCAAAUCGUACCCCAAACCGACACAGGUGGUCAGGUAGAGAAUACCAAGGCGCUUGAGAGAACUCGGGUGAAGGAACUAGGCAAAAUGGUGCCGUAACUUCGGGAGAAGGCACGCUGAUAUGUAGGUGAGGUCCCUCGCGGAUGGAGCUGAAAUCAGUCGAAGAUACCAGCUGGCUGCAACUGUUUAUUAAAAACACAGCACUGUGCAAACACGAAAGUGGACGUAUACGGUGUGACGCCUGCCCGGUGCCGGAAGGUUAAUUGAUGGGGUUAGCGCAAGCGAAGCUCUUGAUCGAAGCCCCGGUAAACGGCGGCCGUAACUAUAACGGUCCUAAGGUAGCGAAAUUCCUUGUCGGGUAAGUUCCGACCUGCACGAAUGGCGUAAUGAUGGCCAGGCUGUCUCCACCCGAGACUCAGUGAAAUUGAACUCGCUGUGAAGAUGCAGUGUACCCGCGGCAAGACGGAAAGACCCCGUGAACCUUUACUAUAGCUUGACACUGAACAUUGAGCCUUGAUGUGUAGGAUAGGUGGGAGGCUUAGAAGUGUGGACGCCAGUCUGCAUGGAGCCGACCUUGAAAUACCACCCUUUAAUGUUUGAUGUUCUAACGUUGACCCGUAAUCCGGGUUGCGGACAGUGUCUGGUGGGUAGUUUGACUGGGGCGGUCUCCUCCUAAAGAGUAACGGAGGAGCACGAAGGUUGGCUAAUCCUGGUCGGACAUCAGGAGGUUAGUGCAAUGGCAUAAGCCAGCUUGACUGCGAGCGUGACGGCGCGAGCAGGUGCGAAAGCAGGUCAUAGUGAUCCGGUGGUUCUGAAUGGAAGGGCCAUCGCUCAACGGAUAAAAGGUACUCCGGGGAUAACAGGCUGAUACCGCCCAAGAGUUCAUAUCGACGGCGGUGUUUGGCACCUCGAUGUCGGCUCAUCACAUCCUGGGGCUGAAGUAGGUCCCAAGGGUAUGGCUGUUCGCCAUUUAAAGUGGUACGCGAGCUGGGUUUAGAACGUCGUGAGACAGUUCGGUCCCUAUCUGCCGUGGGCGCUGGAGAACUGAGGGGGGCUGCUCCUAGUACGAGAGGACCGGAGUGGACGCAUCACUGGUGUUCGGGUUGUCAUGCCAAUGGCACUGCCCGGUAGCUAAAUGCGGAAGAGAUAAGUGCUGAAAGCAUCUAAGCACGAAACUUGCCCCGAGAUGAGUUCUCCCUGACUCCUUGAGAGUCCUGAAGGAACGUUGAAGACGACGACGUUGAUAGGCCGGGUGUGUAAGCGCAGCGAUGCGUUGAGCUAACCGGUACUAAUGAACCGUGAGGCUUAACCU